GGUAACUGCUCACGAUGUCAGACCAGCUUUUCAGUGCUAAAGAAAAAGAAAAACUGCAGUAACUGCGGAAGCUCCUUCUGCACACGCUGCUGCUGCAAAGUACAGAGGUCCUGCCUGGACACCGCAGCUCCAGAGGAUCAGAAUGAGAUCGUGUUAGUCUGCACACUGUGCAGCGUGUCCCUCACCAAACAGGAAUAGAGCGUCCUCGUCCUCUCUCUCUCUUUCCCUCCCUUUUUC